UAUCUAAGCAACCUGCUCUCUAGUCUGC
rnacentral:piRNA from 1 species